GCUCCUUGUGCAUUCAUCAGAGCCCUGCAGCAGAGAGCCUUCAAGACAGACAUUCAUAUGUCAAGAACUCAGCUUUGCUUUACUUGAUGUCCCAGACAGAUUAGCAGACAAGGAGCUCGAGAGCCACUGGAGAACAUGCCAGAACAAGUCCUUGUGCCCCAUCUGUGUGGAUGAUGGCUAUUACACUGCAGCUUGAAAACACUGUUUCCACGGCAGAGAGACCACUUGAGAAAAGAGUCCAUGAGAAGCAGAGCAACUGGAAGACUUAUUUUCUGUCCCAUAUUACACCACACUUGGAGAGAUGGCAGACUCUGGUGACAUGAUACCAGCAAAACUGAGAAGCCACCCAUCCUGAGAGAUAUGGUUUAUUAAAAAAUCAUGAUCAGAUUCA